GAAAACUACAUGGUAUGAAUGUUGGAACAAAACUCUGCAGUGCUCCGGCCCUCUGAGUUUGACACCCCUGCUCAAAAGGGCCUGGAUACAUUCCCCAACUAUCAAUUUCCUGUCUGCGACUUUCUCUUUCCUCAAGUGACUGUCAUUCCCUUAGUAGAGUGAUGUGUAGAGUAAGAGAUACAACAAGAACAAAACACCCAGAGCAUGGCCACAGAUAAAGAGGUCUGGGAUCUGUCUCUCCUGUGGUGCGAUGAGGUCAACUGGGCCGACAGCUUUUAGAUUGAUGCAGGACAUCCUCUCAGACCACCGCAGCCCACUGGGCGAGAAAGUGUUGAACAAAAACACGCGGUAAACUGAGACCCCUGCAGGGAUUUCUGGACACUAGACUCCCUGCGGUCUUGAUGAGCCUCUCGCCUGCUUCACACCCUUAUCCUCAAGGAUUGUUUCAGGACAUUCAUCCUCUAGACCCUCAGAAAACACAAUGUGAGCGUGCAGGAGGGAAAUAUUUUGGGGGCCAUUGUUCUUGUUUUUGAGAUGACUUGCUAUAAUUUCCUUUUCUUUCCUGUCUGAUGAUAUCUGCAGAAACAAAAACAGUGUUUAUCUGCCAUGGAAACAAAAGCACUGUGUUUGACUGAGGUCCCCAUCGCAGCAAUCCAAACCCAAGCUUGAUUUUAAUAUAGAUCUUUGGGGUUCAUGUACUCAACCAUUAAGCAGAGCUCAAAUGCCAUAUGAUUUUAUCACUCUUCAUACUGGAUGAGUUGCUCCAAGAUAUUGAUACUCAAUCUGUUUCACUUCAUCUAGCAUCCGGAGGUUUUUCAUUUAAAAUGAUUUGCUGUAAUUCUUAAAGCCUGUCUUAGUCAUUGUCAAGAUAGUUUUGUGUGGGCAAAAAUUAAUAUUUUAAGAAUUAAUGCUGCCCACGUCUCACAGGAUGUUAAACCACAAGAAGACUUGGUUAAAAUACAUAUGUUUGUGUGUGACAGUGACAGUUUAAACAU